AGCUUAAAACCUUUCCCCCUUGUCCUAUCAAUACAUGCCAUCACCUCUCCUUUUUCCUUCAAGUCUUCUCCAUUACAGGUGCUACGUGAUCUGCAGAAAAAUAUGGUUGGCAACAGCUGCUGGCUUGGAGAAGGUAAAUGUGUCUGAAGGCAGCCAAGUCUGACUGCAUAGCGGGAGAAGAAUGGAAGUUUUCUCCUUCAGAAGAGCACAGAAUGAGACUUCUCUGGAUAAGUGUUUCUGUGGGCAUGGUGCAGGGCGUCCCUCAUGGGAGCUGUCUCAGGAGAAAUCCGGGUGUGGAAAGCCUGCCCAGCAGGGAACGGAAGCACCACAAUGAGCAGAAAUUGAGGAAAGACACCAUUUCCUUAGGAGUGCAUUGUCCAUAUGUGUUUCCACUCUCUAGCAGUCUGAUCUGAAUCCACAGUCCAAAAGCACAUCCCUGUGCCAUGCCCUGGGGUGUGGCAGGGCACGCUCUGUCCAGGGCCACAAGAUUGAUUUUUUCUUGGUUAAGAUUCCCCCCUUCCUUCUCCGAUGUCUCUGCUCCUUCUUUUUGCAGAACUUCGUGCAAAAUCCUUUACUCCUUUUCAUGCACACAGUAGCACCCCUUUUCCCUUUUCCUGUGGGAUAGCUCACAAAAUAAAAGCACAGAGUUUCUUCCAGAGAAGGGACCAUCCCGUUUCCUCCA